rnacentral:rRNA from 1 species
AACGAACGCUGGCGGCAGGCCUAAUACAUGCAAGUCGAACGAGAGGAAGGAAAGCUUGCUUUUCUGAAUCUAAUGGCGAACGGGUGAGUAACACGUAGGUAACCUGCCCAUGUGCCCGGGAUAACUUCUGGAAACGGAUGCUAAAACCGGAUAGGUAGCAGACAAGCAUUUGACUGCUAUUAAAGUGGCUAAGGCCAUGAACAUGGAUGGACCUGCGGUGCAUUAGCUAGUUGGUGAGGUAACGGCCCACCAAGGCGACGAUGCAUAGCCGGACUGAGAGGGCGGACGGCCACAUGGGGACUGGGACACGGCCCAAACUCGUACGGGAGGCAGCAGUAGGGAAUUUUCGUCAAUGGGGGGAACCCUGAACGAGCAAUGCCGCGUGAGUGAGGAAGGUCUUCGGAUCGUAAAGCUCUGUUGUAAGAGAAAAACGACAUUCAUAGGGAAUGAUGAGUGAGUGAUGGUAUCUUACCAGAAAGUCACGGCUAACUACGUGCCAGCCGCCGCAGUAA